rnacentral:misc_RNA from 1 species
GAAGAAGAGUACAUUGAAUGGUUUAGAAAGGCUGGGUUUAUACGUAUCGAAUUGAAAAGAAUUGGCCCAAAAUGGUACCGUGGUGUUCGUCGGCAUGGGUUGAUUAUGGGUUGCUCUGUAACUGGAGUUAAGCCAUUUUCUGGAGAUUCUUCCCUGAAGCUUGGUCCAAAGGCUGAGGAUGUGAGAAAGCCAGUAAAUCCUUUUAUUUUCCUUCUGCGCUUCAUUCUCGGGGCCAUAGCAGCCACGUACUUUGUGCUGGUUCCCAUCUACAUGUGGAUCAAAGAUCAAAUUGUUCCAAAGGGCAUGCCCAUUUGAAAUGAGCAGAAGCAUGGGAAUCAAUUCAUUGAUUACCAUUCUGCAGUUGUUUCAAAAUGAUUAAUUGUGGUUAUAGCACUGUGUUAUGUGUCAUAGAAUAGGAUUAAGUCAUUGGCCGUUGAACAGGGUAAUCUCCGUCAAUGUUGGAUGGGUUGCCUUUGUUGGUGUUUCGGCCUUUCCUUGAAUGACCUAUGGUGGAAGGAAAUGAGAGCUCUUUUGAGGGAGCUUUGAGAACCUCUUGCAAUUUGUAGUGAAAUUCUGCUUAUUUUAUUCAUUUAACGUGUUCUCCUGGUAUAGAGAUUGCAUGGUCACAUAAAAGGAAUAAUCUGUAAUUAUAGCCAACGUUCAAGGCUUAGAUCAAGAGAUUAAAGUCAUAAUGAUAUCCUAAUAAUUAUAGCCAGCAGACUUAAAUCAAGAGAUUACAAUAAGAAUAGUAUCAUAAUUUGAUAAUAUCCAUAAAAUCUUGAUAUGAUUAGUUGUUACCGUCAUUUUGGAUGUUAUUGCCUUCUUUAUUCUACUGUCCAUGUCUUGCAUAAGUCUUGCCAAUGAAUGCAUCUCUGACACACUGAUUAGCCUGUGUUUCUAAUUUAUCUUUUGAAAUUAUCACUGCUAAAGUAAUCGCAAUGAGGAAUAUUAAACAUGGAGAUGGAUGACAUGCUUCUUUUUUCAUUCUAUAUUCCAAUUCUACAGCCUCUGUACGGUUAUUGGAAUGAUAAUACAGAGCAUGUAACAAAGUUGAUACUAACUGCAGCACUCUGUUCUAAAUUCUGUUGUUGCAUUUGUAUAAUUUAACCAUGCUAGUCAUGAGAGUUCUUCAUGACAAGGGGGAUUUCUGCACCCCGACAGAAGGAUAUUUGCUACGAAGAAACAAGGAAUGGCUUGGAUAGAAAUCACCAUUUCAUUGUCUUUAAGAUCCAGAAAUGACUUGCUGUAUACAAGCAAGUGAAAGGUACAGAGCAGAAAGAGAAGAUGACCUGAGAGGAAUUAGGGAAAAG